AACACAUGUAAAAAGAUAUACAGUACAACAAUUCAGGGUGUGACAGAGACUAUACAGCAAACCAACCAAUCAGAUGACACUUCUAUUGUUGGGUGUGGGAUGUCAGCCAUACAAGGUCUGCAUACAUUCAGGUACACCUGACUGCAGGCCUUACAUGAAUUAUUGAAGGCCGGAUAUUUUAUUAACCUGACUAAAAAUACGUUUGUCAUCAUUGGACUAAAGAGUUCUGAUUUUAGCGUGCUAAAUCGGAUGUUAAGGGGGAAAACUACAAUCCAUAGCUUCCGAGAAGUAGAGCGGAACUACAGAUUUCAUUUAACGACACAAGGAAUAUAGAAACUACAGAGUUCUGCUUUUCGCGUGCUAAAUCGGGUGUUAGGGGAAAAAACUACAAUCCAUAGCUUCCGAGUAGUAGAGCGGAACUACAGAUUACAUUAAACGACACAUGGAAUAUAAAAG